AGACUAACUGGGGGAGCUGGGAGGGCCCCCAGGGCUGGGGCGCAGGGAGGAUCUUACCUGCGGAAAGACUCAGGAGGUCGCACAUAUUCGAUAUCAGGCUUGAGCUGAGUCACCUGACUGUACACAGAACAUAUAUGCAGCUGUACCCGAAUACGUACCCGAGAAUUAGAGGAACACUAACAGCAGGAUCGGAAGAAAAAAAGAAGUGUUCGCAGACAGAAUUAUUCCAAUGCACGGGUGCACAUCGAGUUGUCCAGAUGCAGACAAAAGCUGUGGUGCCCACAAGGAAUGACCCCAGCCACAGGCAGAUGUGCAGGAAGCCACACAAAGGGAGAGCCUGAAGGAGGAUGCAGGACUCGGGGCCAAGGGCUUCCUGCUAGAGGGACGUUGGCUUCCAAGGGUGAAACUGUUGAGCCAACCAGUUAAAGGUUUCAGGUCAAGUUCUGGAGACUAGAAAGAGCACAACGUCCAUCCACCGCUGAUCCUUUUGCCUUCCACUAAGCUGGGCUUUAGACACUCAGAAGAGGGCAACCCAGGAAAGAAUCAUUUUGAUUCGGGUUAUUUAUUUGUUACUAUUGUUGGUUAAGGAGAUUGUGUUCUGAAGAAGGAUGGGUGGGGAGCAUAGAUGGAUGCCCUAACUCAAUGCUGGGAGAUUCCUAAUUCUUAAUGGGAACAUUCGGCUCCAACGAGGGUUCAAGAAGCCAGGGGCCCUUAUUUUGCCUCUUUCUCACCUUUCAUUGCUAAAUGCAGUCCUUAAAAAGAACCUUCGCCUAGCUCCACGCCCUCCUGUCCUCACUUCCAUCCCAAUCCCCUUUAUAUCAAAUAUGUCCACAAACGAACACUCCCAAGCAAACUGAACUAUUUUAUUACACUAAUUUUCUUUGUGGGAUAUUGGGGUAUUCUCACCCCCUCCUACCCAUUUCCAAACAGAAGCCACCAUCCUGAGAGUUUCAAAGAGUGGCUGUUCCAAAAGGCCUUAGCAAGUGCACAGGCUUGAUGCUACCUUCAGCUCCUUUUGCCUUCCAGACAGUAGCCACCACAAGUUUCCCCGCAAAAGAGGCAGGCACCCUGGAUGCAAAGUCGCCCUUCUUUCCACUUCACCUCCCCCACCCCAGCUCUCUCUCUGAAAGUCGAGGGUGCAUUUGGGAAGAUUCUUUUAGACAAAAAGAGGGGGAGGGAAGAGGACUCUCUGGGCUAGCAAGUGGAUGACUCCCCUCCAAGGGGCUGAGGAAGAUUUUUCUUGUGAAGAAGAGAUGAACCACUCCCUAAACAGGACAGGGGGACACUUUGAAGCAGAUCCAGUUGUCCAAGAAAUGUAGGGUGAGGAGUGGGAAGUAUGAGGAAUUUCUUCCCUUUUGGAGGCUAACAUGUGUGUCUCCCCCACCCCCAAUCCUGGAAAUUUUAGCAAGAGAUGUUCUGGUAGAUGUUUCAAACAAUAAAGACUGAAAAU
rnacentral:lncRNA from 1 species